GACGAACGCUGGCGGCGUGCUUAACACAUGCAAGUCGAACGGAAAGGCCCCUUUGGGGGUCCUCGAGUGGCGAACGGGUGAGUAACACGUGAGUAACCUGCCCUUGACUUCGGGAUAACUUCAGGAAACUGGGGCUAAUACCGGAUAGGAAUCCUUGCUGCAUGGUGGGGGUUGGAAAGCUUCGGCGGUUUUGGAUGGACUCGCGGCUUAUCAGCUUGGUGGUGGGGUAGUGGCUUACCAAGGCUUUGACGGGUAGCCGGCCUGAGAGGGCGACCGGCCACAGUGGGACUGAGAUACGGCCCAGACUCCUACGGGAGGCAGAAGUGGGGAAUAUUGCACAAGGGGCGGAAGCCUGAUGCAGCAACGCCGCGUGCGGGAUGACGGCCUUCGGGUUGGAAACCGCUUUCAGCAGGGGCGAAGCUUGUGGUGACGGUACCUGCAGAAGAAGCACCGGCUAACUACGUG
rnacentral:rRNA from 1 species